GCAUAUCAAUAAGCGGAGGAAAAGAAACCAACAGGGAUUGCCCCCAGUAACGGCGAGUGAAGCGGCAAAAGCUCAAAUUUGAAAUCUGGCUCCUUAGGGGUCCGAGUUGUAAUUUGUAGAGGAUGCUUCGGGUGCGGCCACGGUCUAAGUUCCUUGGAACAGGACGUCAUAGAGGGUGAGAAUCCCGUCUUGGGCCGUUGGUCCACGCCCGUGUGAAGCUCCUUCGACGAGUCGAGUUGUUUGGGAAUGCAGCUCUAAGCGGGUGGUAAAUUUCAUCUAAAGCUAAAUAUUGGCCGGAGACCGAUAGCGCACAAGUAGAGUGAUCGAAAGGUUAAAAGCACCUUGAAAAGGGAGUUAAACAGCACGUGAAAUUGUUGAAAGGGAAGCGCUUGCGGCCAGACUCGGGCGCGGGGUUCAGCGGGUGCGCGUCACCCGUGCACUCCCCGCCGCCCGGGCCAGCAUCAGUUCUGACGACCGGUCAAAGGCCCCCGGAAUGUGUCGUCUCUCGGGACGUCUUAUAGCCGGGGGUGCAAUGCGGCCCGUCGGGACUGAGGAACGCGCUUCGGCUCGGAUGCUGGCGUAAUGGCCGUAAGCGGCCCGUCUUGAAACACGGACCAAGGAGUCUAACAUCCACGCGAGUGUUCGGGUGUCAAACCCGUGCGCGCAGUGAAAGCGAACGGAGGUGGGAGCCUUAGGGCGCACCAUCGACCGAUCCUGAAGUCUUCGGAUGGAUUUGAGUAGGAGCGUGGCCGUUGGGACCCGAAAGAUGGUGAACUAUGCCUGAAUAGGGUGAAGCCAGAGGAAACUCUGGUGGAGGCUCGCAGCGGUUCUGACGUGCAAAUCGAUCGUCAAAUUUGGGCAUAGGGGCGAAAGACUAAUCGAACCAUCUAGUAGCUGGUUCCUGCG
rnacentral:rRNA from 1 species